rnacentral:lncRNA from 1 species
UUUCUCCAGGGUGCACGAAGACCCCUAGCUUCUCCCAUCAAGCACUGCUGCUCCUCCUGCCUCCGUGCGGCCGCGCUGCUGCUGUUGCUUCCCGCCGCUGCCCGCCCUGCUCCGUCGCCCCCAAGACCGCCUCCCUCUGCCGCCCUGCCGUUCCUCCACCUCGCAGCAGCCGACCGUGAAGGAUUCGCCCUCACGCUGGACCAUCGCCUGCCUGUAGCCAUGGAUGCCGGCCUGUCCUGGGUGCCUGGCGGGUAAUUUUUCCCCAUGAAUUGCUUGUAGUAGAGUCUCUAAUGCAUGUCAAUAGGCCCGUCACUAAAGGUUCAAUGUGAAAAAAAAUACAAAAAUCACAAAAACACACAUCAGUGGCGGGCUCUAAAUCUGGGCCCGCCACUGAUGACCCCUGGAGACCCUUAAAGACUGAAAUAAUCAUUACUAAUUCAUAAAAAAUCAGAAAAAUGUGAUUCUUUUUGCUUAAGUCUUAUUUUUUCUUGCUUAACAUGAUGGAACAAUAAUAUCAUAUCUUAGCAUUUGAAAAAUGAACUAUGUAGUACAAACUUGUUAUUUUCCACACUUCAAGUUUAUGGUUUGUGCCAAAUGACAGAAAUUUUGUCCAUUUCUAUGCCAUAGUUCAUGAUAAUGUAUACUUUUUUGCAUAAAGGUGCAUCUUGUCAUGACAAACAAUAUUGCCAAAGAGUUCUACAAAUUUUUGGUUAUAAAAAAUGAUUUUCUAUUUUUGAAAUGCAAAAAAGGGGUAUUUUGUGAAGCAAGUACACUUAAUAUGGUUCCAAAUGGCCUUUAUCCAAUUUUCACACAAACUUGAACAUUAUUAUAAACUUGUAGACCAAUUUAGUUAUACAAAAUAUUUAUAUAUUAUAUGAAACAGAAAAAUAAAAAAAAUAUCUUGUAUGGCCUCAUCAGUGACGGGCUAUAAAUUCAUGCCCGCCACUAAUGCCUUUUCUAGGGGCGCCGGCCAACCCAUCUAAGGCCCAACCCAAUCCUUAGGCUAUAAAAAUCCCUAGGCUAACCCUAAUCCCCACCCACUCCCUAACUCUCUCCCACUGUCGCCGCCACCACCUCAUUUCUCUCCCUCGAACUCCCUCUCCCACUGCUAUCCCUUUGCUCUCUCUUCCCCGUCUCUCUUUUGCUCGUCCCCACCGCGAGCCCGGCC